ensembl:rRNA 5S_rRNA 5S ribosomal RNA
UUCUAUAGCCACACCACCCUGAACAUGCCCAAAUCUGUCUGAGUUUGGAAGCCAAGUAGAGUUGGGCCUAGUUAGUACUUACACAGAAGAAAUUAAGAAUUUCAAGCAG